CAUUCAGGAAAAGAAUGCACUUGGUGAAUAUCACGAGUUAUUGAGUGAAAGCUCUAACAACCUUGACCAUCUCGCCUAUGAUGUGUGGUUCGAGUCAGUUCUACCUUGCCUUGAUGUCAGGUCAAUUUUCCGCCUUUGCGGAGUUUCCCGGAAGCUACGAAAACUGUUGCUGACGGAGCAGACAUUCAAGGCUAUCUGUGUGCGUCGCUACGGAAUCAGCCCAUUGUUGGAUUCGUCAUACAUUGACACCAGCAAAACUUUGAGCAGAUGCCCAGAGUCCUGAUUUCUUUUUGACAUCGUCAUUGAGCGCCUGUACGCGGCAUUCCACAUUGCAGCUGUACGUCAUGAAUCAGCUAGAGUUAUCUUUGGAGGACUACUUCAUGGUUUGCCUGAGGUACCGCAAGCUCAGAGAUAUGCAGGGGAUCACAACCGAACUCGGAUUGACACAAUUCUACUCAGGUUUGGGCAAGCAUCUCAGAAACGUGUUGAGUCUCAACCACAGCGACAACUGUGACAACCAAAAGGAUCUGUUGGAACAUUUUACAACGUAUGCUGAGGUGAUUGACUGUUAAAAUUAUAAUCUAGUUCUUAGUACAUACCAUGUAUUCAAACCACCAGAGUGCCAGAACUGCUGCUGUUGCAUAUCCCCGAGACUAAAGACUUGGCAACAUCCCGCCUGCGCCUAACUCGUACGCUAUGGUUCCCCAUCUUUAUCCUCUUAUGUUCAGGCUGCCCGUUUUGGAGUUUUGGAACCAUCCGUUGCCUGAUGGUCAUGACUAUGUGAAACUCGGAAUGCCAUUGAACCCAACUUCCCCUUUCUCUCUCCUGUGUGUAGUCCUUAAUACCAUUGAUCCCUGGUGUAUGUUGCUAAAAUAAUAAUAAUAAUAUGGACCCGCCUGUGUGGAUUCACAGGAAGUGUGGGCUACAAAGUCUGAAGAGAAUGUUGGACAGUCUCUGCUGGGAUGACGACUACACCAUAGCUCAGUGGUUAGAGCAUCGCUAGCUACAAGCGAGGGUCCCUGGUUCGAGUCCUGGUAGUGACAGUCAAUUUUUUCUUCAGACUUUUCCCGUCUUUGUUUUUCCUCGUGGUAGUUGAAGUUGCCCGCCCACCCUCUCUGGUGUUUAUGUGGGUCUUCCGCUGUUCUUCUUGACAUUCUAUGCCAACGUGUGUGGCUUAUGAUGAUGCCAUACACCGGUUAUUACAUACAAUUUCUUGCUGUCUCUAUUCUUGGGUCCGACUGGCAGCGGGGCAGGAAUUAAUGAAAUAGAAAGGUUUUUUGGCCGAAAGGCGUGUUUCUCCUCUAGCACGGAUGAGGGGUCGCGGCUAGGAAUGUAGGGAGUCAUUGUUUUCAGGCGCUCCCCUGCUGCCCAGUCACCCAUGCUCACCACUGGCCAUGCUGUUUCACUUGAUUUUGCGGCCUUUUCUCACGCUUGCUGGCGGUUCUUUGAUGGAUUUAGAUUUUUUCGGCGUUUUAUCUAUUAUGUGGCUGGGAGUGUGUUUUUUGCUUCUACUCAUUUCUGGAAAACCACUACGGUGGUGAGUGUGAUUGCUCUGGUAGACCACUACCCCAUGUACUGAACAGUUGCUUUGUGAG